AUUGAACGCUUGCGGCAGGCUUAACACAUGCAAGUCGAACGAGUGGCGGACGGGUGAGUAAUGUCUGGGAACCUGCCUGAUGGAGGGGGAUAACUACUGGAAACGGUAGCUAAUACCGCAUACCAUCAGAUGUGCCCAGAUGGGAUUAGCUAGUGGGUGGGGUAACGGCUCACCUAGGCGACGAUCCCUAGCUGGUCUGAGAGGAUGACCAGCCACACUGGACGUGCGAAACGGUCCAGACUCCUACGGGAGGCAGCAGUGGGGAAUAUUGCACAAUGGGCGCAAGCCUGAUGCAGCCAUGCCGCGUGUGUGAAGAAGGCCUUCGGGUUGUAAAGCACUUUCAGCGAGGAGGCGUUACUCGCAGAAGAAGCACCGGCUAACUCCGUGCCAGCAGCCGCGGUAAUUC
rnacentral:rRNA from 1 species